CCUACGGGACGCAGCAGUAGGGAAUCUUCCACAAUGGGCGAAAGCCUGAUGGAGCAACGCCGCGUGGGUGAAGAAGGUCUUCGGAUUGUAAAGCUCUUUAAGUGGGGACGAAGAAAGUGACUGUACCCACAGAAUAAGCCUCGGCUAACUACGUGCCAGCAGCCGCGGUAAUACGUAGGAGGCAAGCGUUAUCCGGAAUGACUGGGCGUAAAGGGUGCGUAGGUGGUUUGGCAAGUUGGUAGCGUAAUUCCGGGGCUCAACCUCGGAUCUACUACCAAAACUGUCGGGCUUGAGUGCAGGAGGGG
rnacentral:rRNA from 1 species